GAAAUGCGAUAUGUAAUGUGAAUUGCAGAACUCAGUGAAUCAUCGAAUCUUUGAACGCACAUUGCGCUUUCUGUCAGUAGCAGAGAGCAUGCCUGUUUGAGUGUCGUUUUCCUACAUCACUUUUUUUUGUAUUGUUUAUUUUGAACGAUAUAUGUCAAAAAGAGUGGACACACUUUUAUGAGGAUUAGACGUUUUUUGGUUUAUUCCUUGAAAAACGAAGAGAGAUGUUGAUCAACCCCGUCUUUUUUUUCACAAGAAAGACGGCACGGAUCCUAUUUUUUCAUUGUAAAUUGAAUGGACAUUGAAAUUGGGAUUUGUGUUUUGUGGUGGUCAAUUUACAUUUAUUCUUUCAGUGAGGGUAGACACACACGACUUGACGACCUCAAAUCAGGCAAGGUCACCCGCUGGACUUAA
rnacentral:misc_RNA from 1 species